CCUUCUUCAGACAAACCAUGUCAAAAUUCUUCUUCACAAACAAAACCUGUUGCAACAAAAGGUCAACCUGCAUCUGCAGACAUCGAAGUUUCUCUAAAUUCUUCCAUACAAACCAUGCAAGACCCUUCAUCUGGCACACCCACUUCUUCAAACUUCGAGGAUCAUCAU